rnacentral:sRNA from 1 species
CAAUGAUAGUGUUGAUCUCUCUGAUGACCUGGCUCCCAGAAAAUUGGGCUUGGUUUCCCUGUCUUGAUUGACCCCGAUCCCUUGAUUUUCUUCUCGGAGGCGAUUGUUCCCUGUGCUCUCUAUCCCCCCUCCUCGGGGAGGCGGAUCUGUAAGGAUAUUCGUUCCUGCUGGAAGGGUGUGGGUUGCUUCGAUCAAGGCGUCGAUUGGCGUCUCAGUACUCACUAGUGUCAUGUCCAUAGAGUUGAUGGAACGUACAAAACCUUGUCCCUUCCAAGGGUCCGUUUGACCUCUUCUUCUUCUUCUUGUUAUCAGCUCUUCUAGAUGGUCCCGCUUUGGCAGGGAUAUUCUCAUAUGC